GAUGAACGCUAGCGGCAGGCCUAAUACAUGCAAGUCUAAAGGGCAGCAAUGUCCUUGGCGCACGGGUGCGUAACACGUAUGCAACCUGCCCACAACUGGGGGAUAACCUUCCGAAAGGGAGGAUAAUACCCCAUAAAACAGGGAUCCCGCAUGGGAAUAUUGUUAAAGCUUCGGCGGUUGUGGAUAGGCAUGCGGACGAU
rnacentral:rRNA from 1 species